UUAAGUCCCGCAACGAGCGCAACCCUCGCCUUUAGUUGCCAGCAUUCAGUUGGGCACUCUAGAGGGACUGCCGGUGUCAAACCGGAGGAAGUGGGGAUGACGUCAAGUCCUCAUGGCCUUUAUGUCUAGGGCUACACACGUACUACAAUGGCCGGUACAAAGGGCAGCCACUCAGCGAUGAGGCGCUAAUCCCAUAAAGCCGGUCUCAGUCCGGAUCGCAGUCUGCAACUCGACUGCGUGAAGUUGGAAUCGCUAGUAAUCGUAGAUCAGCAUGCUACGGUGAAUACGUUCCCGGGCCUU
rnacentral:rRNA from 1 species